CCCGAGAUAGUAUAGUGGUUAGUAUUUCCGCCUGUCACGCGGAAGACCCGGGUUCAAUUCCCGGUCUCGGAG
rnacentral:tRNA from 1 species